rnacentral:rRNA from 1 species
AAAAAAUUAGAGUGUUCAAAGCAGGCANGAUCCAAUUUUCUGCCACCGAAUACAUUAGCAUGGGAUAAUGGAAUAGGACCCUGUCCUCCUAUUUUCAGUUGGUUUUGGCAGCGCGAGGACUAGGGUAAUGAUUAAUAGGGAUAGUUGGGGGCAUUAAUAUUUAAUUGUCAGAGGUGAAAUUCUUGGAUUUAUGAAAGAUUAACUUCUGCGAAAGCAUCUGCCAAGGAUGUUUUCAUUAAUCAAGAACGAAAGUUAGGGGAUCGAAGACGAUCAGAUACCGUCGUAGUCUUAACCAUAAACGAUGCCGACCAGCGAUUAGGAGACGUUGAAUACAAAACACCACCAUCGGCGCGGUCGUCCUUGGCGUCUCGGUCCUUCACGGGGCCGGGGCGCGGGGGCGGCUUAGCCCGGUGGCACCGG